rnacentral:rRNA from 1 species
UUCCAGACUCCUACGGGAGGCAGCAGUGGGGAAUAUUGCACAAUGGGGGAAACCCUGAUGCAGCGACGCCGCGUGAGUGAAGAAGUAUUUCGGUAUGUAAAGCUCUAUCAGCAGGGAAGAAAAUGACGGUACCUGAUUAAGAAGCCCCGGCUAACUACGUGCCAGCAGCCGCGGUAAUACGUAGGGGGCAAGCGUUAUCCGGAUUCACUGGGCGUAAAGGGAGCGCAGGCGGCGCGGCAAGUCUGAUGUGAAAGCCCGGGGCUCAACCCCGGGUCUGCAUUGGAAACUGUCGAGCUAGAGUGUCGGAGGGGUAAGUGGAAUUCCUAGUGUAGCGGUGAAAUGCGUAGAUAUUAGGAGGAACACCAGUGGCGAAGGCGGCUUACUGGACGAUGACUGACGCUGAGGCUCGAAAGCGUGGGGAGCAAACAGGAUUAGAUACCCCGGUA